rnacentral:rRNA from 1 species
GGGGGGGGGGGGGGGGGGGGGGGGGGGGGGGGGGGGGGGGGGGGGGGGGGGGGGGGCAGGGGAGUGGCGGGGGGCCGGCGGGCGGGUGCGGGGCACGUACGCAACGGACCCUGACCUGGGGGAUAGCCCGGGGACACCCGGCUUAAUCCCCGGUACUAUACUGGAUUUGCCUCACUUUCUUCCUCAAGCUCCGGCGGUUCGGGCGGGGCGUGCGGCUGAUGAGGUAGUUGGUUGAGGUCACGGCUCACCAAGCCUACGAUCAGUAACCUGUGUGAGAGCACGACCAGUCACACGGGCACUGAGACACGGGCCCGACUCCUACGGGAGGCAGCAGUAAGGAAUAUUGGGCAAUGGAGGCAACUCUGACCCAGCCAUGCCGCGUGGAGGAUGAAGGCCCUCUGGGUUGUAAACUUCUUUUAUAGGGGACGAAACCUGUGUAUUCUUACGCAGUUGACGGUACCCGAGGAAUAAGCACCGGCUAACUCCGUG